rnacentral:rRNA from 1 species
UGGUUGUCGUCAGCUCGUGUCGUGAGAUGUUGGGUUAAGUCCCGCAACGAGCGCAACCCCUAUUGUUAGUUGCCAUCAUUCAGUUUGGGCACUCUAGCGAGACUGCCGGUAAUAAACCGGAGGAAGGUGGGGAUGACGUCAAAUCAUCAUGCCCCUUAUGACCUGGGCUACACACGUGCUACAAUGGUUGGUACAACGAGUUGCGAGUCGGUGACGGCGAGCUAAUCUCUUAAAGCCAAUCUCAGUUCGGAUUGUAGGCUGCAACUCGCCUACAUGAAGUCGGAAUCGCUAGUAAUCGCGGAUCAGCACGCCGCGGUGAAUACGUUCCCGGGCCUU